UUAGGUGAGGAAAUUGAGAUAAAAAGAUAGUGACUUGUUUGUGAUCACAAAGCCUACAUUGAGUUAAAGAAAGAAUGGACUAUUUGUUGAUAGGAGGAUCAAGCCAGAUCCAAAUGAACCCAGAGAGCUUGCAUGGACUAUGGGUGAUAUCUGUGCCUAGAGCUGACAAGCAGGCAGAAUUUGAUUGGCUUUGGAAAGACUUGCAUGAACUGAUGAUAAAUGAACCAAGAGAACAUUGUACACAGCAAGAUGAUUAUGUGAUGAUCAAAUGUGAUGGACUUGGCUCUUUUCAACAAUGAGGAGAUUCAGUGUAAUUCCAAUAGACUUAGAAUGGAAAGUGUCAUUCCUAUCCAGAGAAGGAACUAUGGAAACUGAAUGUGGAUCAAAGCAUAGUAUUUUCACCUUUUUUUGUUGUUUAUUUGCUUUUUUUCUUUCUCUUGUUUUUUUUUCCCCCCUUUUGAUCCUUUUCUUGGGCAGCAUGAUGAAUAUAGAAAUAUAUUUGGAAGAAUUGCACAUGUUUAAACUGUAUUAGAUUGCUUACUAUCUAGGGAAGGGGGGAGUCAGGGAGAGAGGAAGAAAAACUUGAAACAAGGUUUUGCAAAAGUGAAUGUUGAAAACUAUCUUUGCAUGUAUUUGGAAAAAUAAAAUACUACUUUAAACAAUUGAAUUAAACUUUAAAAUAUUUGAUUGGCUUGAUCUGUAUUCUAUCACAAAAAUUAUAGAUAGUCCUGUUUUAUCAUCAUCAAUUUGUUGUUGUUUUUUUUUAUUUUUAUGUUGGAAACUAUGACUAAUUACUUCUUCUGGACAAGUCAAACCUAAGUGAGAAGAAUACUUCAGAAAUAAAUCCUAUAAGGAAUA